rnacentral:rRNA from 1 species
UACGAAGGGGGGCUAGCGUUGCUCGGAAUUACUGGGCGUAAAGGGCGCGUAGGCGGCACUGUUAGUCAGGCGUGAAAGUCCUGGGCUCAACCUGGGAACUGCGCUUGAUACGGCAGAGCUAGAGGAUGGAAGAGGGUCGCGGAAUUCCCAGUGUAGAGGUGAAAUUCGUAGAUAUUGGGAAGAACACCGGUGGCGAAGGCGGCGACCUGGUCCAUUACUGACGCUGAGGCGCGACAGCGUGGGGAGCAGACAGG